UUACAGCACAGGGAUGUAGCUGAUCCCUCUGAAAGCAGAAAGACUGAAGGCUCUGGGCAGAACAAUUGGCUACAGUGGAUGCUAAAACCAGAGCCUCAGAGAAAGAAGGCUGCUAAUGGCCUAAGGAAAUCUGUCCCAUCAUUUGGGUCCCUCGAUGAAGCAUUCAAACUCAUCAGAGAGAAAAUAAAUGUACAAUGGGGAGAGAAGUCAUUCUCUGUAACACCAUCACCAUGAAGGUUACCAUCAAUACAUACUCAAGGAAGAAAGCGAGCCCGAACCCAAGGAAGAUGCAGCUAAGAUCACUGAAAUAGGAAGACAAAUAUCUGAAUGUUUAAACACAUAAAGAAUUCCCCCCUUUCAAUCCACAUAGCCUCAUGCUGUCAAGAACUUCACAGGACUCCUUAUUAAGAGCUGACAGCCCUUGCUUGCAAGCAGGCGUCCCCCAUCUCUCGCAAUACAGAAGUUGUUGGUACAUUCCUAUUUUUCUCCAAACAUAGGAGGAGGCUUGCAACCUACUGACUUCGAAUCAUCAUGAAAAUGACAGAUUGCUACUCUGUAAAAAUUGUCAUAAGAUUCCAUGCCUGAAACUGAGAUGUUUUCUUCUUCUUUUCCCACUUCUUCUACUUUAAGUGACCCUAUUAAUGAUAGAUCUCUACUUGAAAUAAUUGGCUAUUCUAAAACUGAGAAAUAAGCAUUUUCCUGUCCUCAUUGUUUUUCCUUCUUUAUCCCUAACAGCCCCAGAGGAUCACAAACAUUUGUCCUCAGGGCAAUAUCAGCGGUUAAUGAUUCAUGUUCAAAGUCUGUGAGUUGUCUAAUUAACAAAAGGCAAUGUUUUACAGAAGCCAUUUUUGCUUUCAAGUUAAUAGCACACAGCAGACACAAAUGCUACGAUGCCACUCAGGUCUUCAAGGCUGUGGUACACUACUGUUCCCAAACGUUACAGCUUCAUUUAUCUGACCCAAACUUCAAGCCAUUAAAAACAAAGCACUCUCAUUUGUUUCCUUUUGAAUGAUUGGCAGUCUUACAGCACCAUUCACAUAUCACAUCCUCCUGUAAUGUACUCAUAAAAUUUAUCUGUAAGUUCUUAUUAAAUGAGGCAUUUGAUUAACGAAAAUAAUAAGAGCUUAUUUUCUGUCAACUAUAUUCAUAACAAUAUCAGUCAUUAAAUAAAUCAGAAUCUUUAAAAUAACCCAAUCAUCUUUUAAUAUAAAUGGUGACACAUAUGAAAUAUUUCCUCAAUAGCAUGCGUGUGGUAAGAUUUCUGAUACUAUAGCAAUGUGUCAUUCUGCAUUUCCAUACAGAAAGACUGAUGUUUGAUAAAUAUUGACAUUUUCAAAAUUACAGUGUGUGUAUGUGUCU
rnacentral:lncRNA from 1 species